AGCGAACGCUGGCGGCAGGCUUAACACAUGCAAGUCGAGCGGGCACCUUCGGGUGUCAGCGGCAGACGGGUGAGUAACACGUGGGAACGUACCCUUGGUUCGGAACAACUCUGGGAAACGUGGAGCUAAUACCGGAUACGCCCUUAUGGGGAAAGGUUUACCGCCGAAGGAUCGGCCCGCGUCUGAUUAGCUAGUUGGUGAGGUAACGGCUCACCAAGGCGACGAUCAGUAGCUGGUCUGAGAGGAUGAUCAGCCACACUGGGACGUGAGACACGGCCCAGACUCCUACGGGAGGCAGCAGUGGGGAAGUAUUGGACAAUGGGCGGCAAGCCUGAUCCAGCCAUGCCGCGUGAGUGAUGAAGGCCUUAGGUUGUAAAGCUCUUUUGU
rnacentral:rRNA from 1 species